rnacentral:rRNA from 1 species
UACGGGGGGGGCAAGCGUUGUUCGGAAUUACUGGGCGUAAAGCGUCUGUAGGUGGCUUUUUAAGUCCGCCGUCAAAUCCCAGGGCUCAACUCUGGACAGGCGGUGGAAACUACCAAGCUCGAGUACGGUAGGGGCAGAGGGAAUUUCCGGUGGAGCGGUGAAAUGCGUAGAGAUCGGAAAGAACACCAACGGCGAAAGCACUCUGCUGGGCCGACACUGACACUGAGAGACGAAAGCUAGGGGAGCGAACGGG